GAUGAUGUUGCUGUCGUUGGAGAAAUAACUCCGGCCUUGAAUCGGGAAACGGAACCUUUGGCAACUGACAGUUGGCUCCAAUGGGCCCUGAAUUAAGGCGCUUAGUUGGCGGUGGGGAUAAGAGAUGAUGCUCUUGCAAUUGGGCAUAUGACAACGGCAUGAACAUAGCAGGAUUCUGGCCGAACUGUGCUUGAUGUUGGUGGGUUAUCACCUGUGGAUUGAAAAUCUGUGGCUUCUCCUCUGCAGCUUCAAUUGGUGGUGGUGGUUGAUGUUGAAAAAUACCCGGUAAUAUGUUGCCAGCUGAAGUAGAAAUUACCGGGUUCGGGUUUUGGCUCAAUACGGAACCAAUCCUGGCAUUUUGGCUAAGAAGAGGAAACUCGGAAGAAGUUCCAUGAACAGAAGGUUGAAUGCUGUUCACCAAGGUGGUACUGUGAAUAGGCUCAAAGAAGAAACCCUGAUCUACAACCCCAAAACCCGCAUUGAACUCCAUAUCUUGUGACCCACUUCCACCUUGCAAGAG
rnacentral:misc_RNA from 1 species